GUAUGGAGCUGGCAGGACAGGGAGGCUAGGUGGCUGGUGGUGCAGGGCGUGCCCAUCCCUCUACCUCCUUCCUCACAGCCCUGCACUGCUCUGUCCCGGUCUGGCCCCUCUUCUCUCCUCACUUUUUCUUCUCUGCUUCUCUUCUCUCUCACUCCCCUCCUAUCCUCAACCUUUUCGUCUCCCUCCCCGCAGUCCUUCCCUCUGCCUCCUUUAUUUCUUCCUUAACCCCCUGCCCUUCCAUUUCCCAUCUCCUCCUCCACCCUCCAGUUCUAUUCCAUCCACUUGCCCCACCACAGACCCGCCUCCCUGAGUUCAAGCUGCCCAUUCUU
rnacentral:lncRNA from 1 species